UACGGGGGGGGCAAGCGUUGUUCGGAAUUACUGGGCGUAAAGGGCUCGUAGGCGGCCAACUAAGUCAGACGUGAAAUCCCUCGGCUUAACCGGGGAACUGCGUCUGAUACUGGAUGGCUUGAGUUUGGGAGAGGGAUGCGGAAUUCCAGGUGUAGCGGUGAAAUGCGUAGAUAUCUGGAGGAACACCGGUGGCGAAGGCGGCAUCCUGGACCAACACUGACGCUGAGGAGCGAAAGCCAGGGGGGCAAACGGG
rnacentral:rRNA from 1 species